UCAGGAGGAGGGAGAGGGAGAGAGUGAGAGAGCGUGGGAGCUUGAGUUGAGGGUGGGGCCACUCAGAAGUCUUACCAAGGCCGCCCCCUUGAUGCCCACGAAGCCCACCACAUUCCUGAGGACAGCCAAGAACAGGCGGGGAGGGGCAGCUGUGAGGCAGGGGCCCGAGCGGAGGACCCGACGCACGCAUUCACUGGUCUGUUUAACCGAAGUGCUCAGUGCGUCCCGCCUGCACCACGCAGCCCACGCCAGCCUCGGGCUCGGAGCCUGCUGCUCUGCCGCUGUGUCUCUCCUGGACUUGGGCCAGCCUGAGUGAACCUGGCUGGCUGCAGACCCCUCGCCCCAGCCAGGGAGCAGGCGGACAGAGUGCUCACAACCCCCCGAGUCUGCCUGAAGAAGGAUUCUGUUUUCUAACUCUGAGGCCAAAGAAGGAGGCCUGGGGGUCCCGCCACUCCCCACAGACCCCCAGUAUGUAUUCCAGCACCCACCCCGGCGUUGCGGGUAGCACUCCGCCAAGUCCUGCUACGUGGAACUCAUCCCUUCCCUUUCUUCUUGCCCUCUCUUUCCUUGCUAAGGUGGGCACAGCCAGGAGCCUACGGAGGGAGGCGAGAACGGCACCAGGAAGGCAGAAACAAUGCGCGUGUCACUGUCACCAAGCAUGCCCCUCACGCCUCGCAGAACGGGCGCAUCACAGGGGACGCUUCCCACUGCGGGUGUGCACAAACACCCCAAAUGGGUACAGCUGCUCCCACUUACAGAUGAGGAAGCUGAGACCCAGAGAGAAGCCGCGCCCAUCUCACCUGCGGAGGGGCCUCUCAGACCUUGCCCUUCCCUCUGGAGAGGGGACGUCUUGUCGCGGCAGUCAGGACCUGAAAGGGGAUGAACAGUUCACAGAGGUGACCAGGACAGUCUCCGGAACUCAACCGACAGCCAGCCAGCUGCCCGGGACAGGCGAGCAGAACCAGCGCCGGCCACAGGCCGCGAGGCAUCGCUGCUCGGAACGCACCGGCAGGAAGCGGUGAGACAGAAGCACCUUUCAUCCUCGGCGAGCUGCUCUCCUGGCUCCGGAAGCUGGCGGUGCCCCG